CGUUCCCGGACCUUGUACACACCGCCCGUCAAGCGAUGGAAGCUGGGAGGACCUGAAGACAGUUGCUGUAAGGCGCUGUUUAGGUAAAACCGGUGACUGGCGCU
rnacentral:rRNA from 1 species